rnacentral:misc_RNA from 1 species
AAAUCAUGCAGAAGUUGCUUGGAAGAAGUUAUCACGUAUAUAUUUCGAUGAGGGGCAAACUUUUAAUCAAUUAAGUCGAUUUGCACAAGCACUUAGCUUAGCACUGAGCAGAUCUUAUGUGAUUCUCCCUAGUUUUCUUGCCUUAGCGUAUGGAAGAAAUAUAGCACUGGCACAAGCAUCACCAGACUUGGAGUAUGGCCUCCCAAUGACUAGCUUCUACAGGCAUGCUGAAAAUGGACAUUUUUUGGUGACCUCAGUGCUGCAUUUCAUAUUUGAAGGUUUUGUUCUGCUGUUGAGAGCCUUUUAUUUGGGGAUACUCUUUUCUCCUAGCAUUGUAAUGGCCCCAUUUGCUGAUGCAUUUGGGCCUUCUUUCAGGAAACUGUGGCUUCAGGUAGUCCGUAGCACACUCGAAAGAGCAGGUCCUGCAUUUAUCAA